GCGGUCAUGGCGGAAUUGGCAGACGCGCAGGAUUUAGGUUCCUGUGCCGUAAGGCGUAUGGGUUCAAGUCCCACUGACCGCA
rnacentral:tRNA from 1 species